CCCUUAGAUGUCCGGGGCCGCACGCGCGCUACACUGAAGGAAUCAGCGUGGCUUUCUCCCUGACCCGAAAGGGUUGGGAAACCCGUUGAAUCUCCUUCGUGAUAGGGAUUGGGGCUUGAAAUUGUUCCCCAUGAACGAGGAAUUCCCAGUAAGCGCGAGUCAUAAGCUCGCGUUGAUUACGUCCCUGCCCUUUGUACACACCGCCCGUCGCUACUACCGAUUGAACGGUUUAGUGAGGGCCUCGGGAUUGUGGUUCUUGCCGCUUUAUUGUGGCGUGACCGCGAGAACUUGUCUAAACCUUAUCAUCUAGAGGAAGGUGAAGUCGUAACA
rnacentral:rRNA from 1 species